UAAUACCGGAUGGUUGUUUGAACCGCAUGGUUCAAACAUAAAAGGUGGCUUCGGCUACCACUUACAGAUGGACCCGCGGCGCAUUAGCUAGUUGGUGAGGUAACGGCUCACCAAGGCAACGAUGCGUAGCCGACCUGAGAGGGUGAUCGGCCACACUGGGACUGAGACACGGCCCAGACUCCUACGGGAGGCAGCAGUAGGGAAUCUUCCGCAAUGGACGAAAGUCUGACGGAGCAACGCCGCGUGAGUGAUGAAGGUUUUCGGAUCGUAAAGCUCUGUUGUUAGGGAAGAACAAGUACCGUUCGAAUAGGGCGGUACCUUGACGGUACCUAACCAGAAAGCCACGGCUAACUACGUGCCAGCAGCCGCGGUAAUACGUAGGUGGCAAGCGUUGUCCGGAAUUAUUGGGCGUAAAGGGCUCGCAGGCGGUUUCUUAAGUCUGAUGUGAAAGCCCCCGGCUCAACCGGGGAGGGUCAUUGGAAACUGGGGAACUUGAGUGCAGAAGAGGAGAGUGGAAUUCCACGUGUAGCGGUGAAAUGCGUAGAGAUGUGGAGGAACACCAGUGGCGAAGGCGACUCUCUGGUCUGUAACUGACGCUGAGGAGCGAAAGCGUGGGGAGCGAACAGGAUUAGAUACCCUGGUAGUCCACGCCGUAAACGAUGAGUGCUAAGU
rnacentral:rRNA from 1 species